GUGGCGGACGGGUGAGGAACGCGUGAGAACCUGCCUCAAGGUCAGGGACAACAGUUGGAAACGACUGCUAAUACCGGAUGAGCCUUCGGGUAAAAGAUUUAUCGCCUAGAGAGGGGCUCGCGUCUGAUUAGCUAGAUGGUGAGGUAAAGGCUUACCAUGGCGACGAUCAGUAGCUGGUCUGAGAGGAUGAGCAGCCACACUGGGACUGAGACACGGCCCAGACUCCUACGGGAGGCAGCAGUGGGGAAUUUUCCGCAAUGGGCGAAAGCCUGACGGAGCAAUACCGCGUGAGGGAGGAAGGCUCUUGGGUUGUAAACCUCAAAACUUAGGGAAGAAAAAAAUGACGGUACCUAAUGUAAGCAUCGGCUAACUCCGUGCCAGCAGCCGCGGUAAUACGGAGGAUGCAAGCGUUAUCCGGAAUCAUUGGGCGUAAAGAGUCCGUAGGUGGCACUUCAAGUCUGCUUUCAAAGGCCGAAGCUCAACUUCGGAAAGGGAGUGGAAACUGAAGAGCUAGAGUAUAGUAGGGGUAGAGGGAAUUCCUAGUGUAGCGGUGAAAUGCGUAGAGAUUAGGAAGAACACCAGUGGCGAAGGCGCUCUACUGGGCAUAUACUGACACUGAGGGACGAAAGCUAGGGGAGCGAAAGGGAUUAGAUACCCCUGUAGUCCUA
rnacentral:rRNA from 1 species